UAUGCUUGAUUAAGUAAGCAAUAAAGCUCUUUCACUCACAAAAAAGUAGAAAUUGCAAUGCGGCCAUCCCAGCAUAUCAAAACAUUUCUGAUUGUGGCGAUGACCUUUUUUUCCAUAUGAUCCUAUAAAAUGGAUCGGGUUCCAUUCUCAAGGGAUAACGAAACUACAAAUGCACAAAAAACAUCCUGGUGCAAGAACAUAGCCUAAAACUGGUUUCAACUGCUAACAACAAAAGCUAAUGGAUCCAAAUCUACUGCAAGUUGACUUGGGGUUCACAAUCAUCCCAAGUAAAAUGUCUUUGAUCACUAGCAUAAUCAUUCAGAAAACUCCAUUGCAUCGCUCUUCGUCCAGUCUUUCUCCUUUGGUUCACCUUCACCAACUUCUUGUUCCUCAGUUUCUCCAGCGUUACUUGCCUCGAUCCUCAACACAAGAUUUCUUGGCUCCGCGUGCCCAACAACAUGAUGUGCCAAUGCUUCUCACUGCAAAGAAACAACACCUAGUUCCUGAAUCGCACACUCUUCAUUAUUUUGUAGAGCUGCCCAAUAAAGCAUAAACAAGCAUGCAUAAUAGACGAAUUCAGCAAGAGAUCUAGUAUUUUUUUCUCAAAACAAGAUCUAUUACAUAACUUGGAUGGGAAUGUAGUGGCUUAUCAUGAAGGUGAUGCACUCAUGGACUUGUAGUAGAGCUGGUAGCUGCCACAACAGCUUCCCUAUAUGUGGGUGGCUUUGAGGCAGGCGUCACAGAGGGGCAUCUCUCCUCCAUAUCCUAUUGGGUCACAUCUGUGGAGUCCCUCAGCAUCUACCAUGACUUUGCUAUCGGGUCCCAUGGCUAUGGCUACUUCAAAUUCCACCCACAGAAGGAUGAUGAGAUCUGAUCUAUUAGAUCCCAAAAUACCUAAAUCAUUAUAUCUCCAUGAGCAUGCAUGCUAAAGGUAGCAGAUCAAACCCAAACGAACAAGUAAAAAAGGCCAAGACACUCACCGUCCUCUUGGGGUAAAAAUCGAUGUAGUUGUAGCCACAAGACCUAUAAGCAACUUCAUGGCAGAUGCGCAAGGAAGCCACGGGCGCGACCUGGUCAUAGAUCUAGAAGAGUUGCCCCUCCGUAACACCUGCCUUGAGGUCAUCAUUGAGGCCAGGAAUGGUUGGUUUGUCAUUGCUGACGAUGGUCGCCAACCCAAUGGACCUAGGAGGUGGCGGCGUCAUCGGAUUCAGGGCGGAACGCUUGCCAUUGGCGGUGGAUGUUCACUAACCAGACGAGUGAAAACUACUAUACUAUGGGUAACCGGCUUGUCUAGUUGUAUCGAUUGUAUAUUGAGUCCUCUCUUAUCGGCACCGAGUCCUCCUGUCUGGUGGAUGCUCUCUCCGGUAUGCUUUUGUAUAGGUGCUAAUUAAUGACAUUUAUUUGCUACCUUUUAGAUAGGCUUCGGGUGUAACUGUUAGAGGAGACGAGUAUUUUUUGUGUAUCUGCAUGCUGGAGAGUUGCGGUAAUUGGGUCCACAUGCCAGUCUAUAUGCGCGUGAUGGGCUGCUGUAUGUAGGUAGAUAUGGACUACAAAGUUCUUCUAUCUAUUUAGAAGAUAUCACUACUGAUUAAUGUUUGAGAUAGAGUAGAUAUCACCACAAAUUAAUGUUUGAUAUAGAUUAGAUCAACUUUUACCACAUCGUGGUCAAUGAUCAUUGACUCGUGAGGGGUCCCUCACCGCCUUUCUUGGUCAAGGCAUCUCCAACACCGCCCCUCAAGCCUCCUGCAUCCGUCCAGACAGUGAAAGCUAUCCAACGUGCUCCUGUAUUGGUACGAGGUGCGGUCCAGAUGUAUACUUUCUCCCGCAAAUGGGAGACAAACGUGGGGAGUGGGAGGGGGCUUGCGGGAGUCCGCACCGCUCCCAUGCCCGCUUCUGACCUCCCUAGCCCACCCAAAACCCCUUUCGCAUCCUGCCGCUUCUUGCCCGGCGCCAACUGCCCGCAUUCAUGCCGUUGUAGAGCGCGCUGCUCCACAUAUUGAAGUUGCGCAGUGCCCGAUGGCGCUGGCCGCUGCCCGCUCAACUGAACACGGCUCCAUUAAACCCGUGUGAAAGCCAAGGAGCCUACUCCGGCCACACAUUUGUUCACGAGUGGGCCAGUAUUAAACACAAUGUUGGACAAGCUCCUCCCAUCUGCCCUCUAUUUAAACAAGGCCAGACGCUGGGCAAGAAUCGCACCACUCCACCACUCCCCAUCUCAUCCUUCCACAAUUUUCUUCGCCCUCUCAAUGGCAUCCGAUGAGCAGGAAGAGCAUUUCCCUGGCAUAAAAGCCAGCUAGGUGUCACACUAAGCCCGCCGAAUAUGAGUGAGGCAGCUCGCUGCUCCACCUCCCUCGCCUGGCCCGACGGAGCUAGUUGCCACCCCAAGCCGGCGCGUGGUACACCACCUCGCCACUCCAAGCCAGCUCACAAGGGAGCGGUCAUUUGCUCUAGGAUGACAUGACGGCACAGGCAUCGUAGCAGCCGUGCCGAUGCCGCGUCAUACUGCGUCUCUCAUGCCUACGAUCGCGCCAUCCGCCGACAAUGCGUGAGUAGCCGCGCCCUACCGGCAGAGAAAGAAGCCGGCAGCACAAAGAUCGACGAGUCGGUGGAUGACGCGUCCGCGUCCGCCGUCAACAUCAAGGGAAAGUAGAACACAGAGGCCGCCGCCACUUGGGUCCCAGGAAGGCCACCACUUGCGCGUCAACGGCUUGUAUAGUCGGUGACCUGUCCGGUUCUUCUUUAUCUCAGACCAUCAUCAGCCCCGCCUAGGCUCCACGAAAGAGGAGCUCCCCUUUCCCUCCAGCUGAAGCACCCUCUUUUCCACUGCGAUGAGCGGCGCAACCAGACAUAGGGAAGAUAUGGGGGAAGAAUAUACCCUCGGGGCUCUCGGCAGUCCGGGAAGUGGGUUGCCGACAUGGGGAAGACAAAGGGAUCCGCCGCAUCCGGCCAUAGACUAGUGUAGUGUUUCCGUGUCAUAGGAGUGGAGCUCCGUGCGACUGUAUGUGCACAUAGUUUUAUCUUUUUAGUUAAAAACAUGUCCAAAAUGUAAUUGUUUUGUCCGGUUUGUAUGAAAUCCAUCAUGUUUAUACGAAAUCCACCCAUGUUUGCAUGAAUUUCAUCUGGUUUGUUGAAAAAAUGUUUGCAAUAUAUGCGGCUACGGUUGGAUGGCGGCCUCUCACAUCCAUGCCCGUGGAUGGAUGCGGAAGGAAAUUUGUUGGUUGCCGUUGGAGAUGCCCUCAAGCCAAUGUUUGGGCGGGUGUAAGGUGUCCCGUCAUGGGUACAUACAAAGUAUUGUAGGAUUUCUGGUCAAUAGAACGGGAAAGUCUCCGGGUGUGGAAACAUCCUCAUAAUCUUUACUACUCCAUCAUGAUUUUUAAGUCUCACGCAUAUUUCAGUAUAAACAUUGAAAAUUAAUUUAUUCAACGAAAUAUUAGUUAUAUGUCACAAAAACAAAAUAUUAGAUUCACAUUUUAAACAAGUUUUCAAUGGUAUACUUUUUGUGACAUAUAACUCAUAUUUUAUUGAUAAAUCAACGUACAUUUUUUAUUGAAAUGCCUGAGACUUAUGAACCAUGAUAGAGGUCAGACACCACGAACGACGGAAUUUAUCCCCAUGGUAUCUCUGACAAAAUGGUUACUCUAAUGUCACUUAUCAAUAUGUGUAUUCUAAUGAAUAAUGUGAAGCAUAUCGCCUUCUAAAACCUUGCUUACCCAUUGAAAUGUUCUACUCCCUCUUGCUAGUAAUUACCUACACUUAUAUCCCCACUCCUUGGACAGAAUUUUGCUAGGUCUGCAACCAAUUCCUUGUAAAUAAUGGCUUUUAGUUUUCAUGUGAAGUUCUUAAAAGUCUUCUGUUUGAGUCAAUUAUUGAUAUGUCAAUUUUGUAGAAUGUUUUCCUACUAUUAUUUAUAAUGUUUUUACGCAUAAUAAUGCUUUUUGGAGUAAUUCUAAUGUCUUUUCUCUCAUAAUAUGUAAGGUUCACACAAAGGGGGAGAAUACCGGCAGCUAGAAUUCUGGGCUUGAAAAAGCUACGUUAUGCCAACUAUUCUGCACAACUCCAAAUGAGUUGAAACUUCAUGGGGAUUUUUUAUAGAAUAGAUAAGAAUUAUUGGAGCAAAUAACCACCAAAGGGGGCCCACCAGGUGGGCACAACCCACCUGGGCACGCCAGGGAGCCCAGGCGCGCCCUGGUGAGUUGUGCCCUCCUCGUCCCACCUCGAGUGCCCAUCUUCUGGUAUAUAAGUCAUUUUGACCUAGAAAAAAAUUAGGAGAGGACUUUUGGACAAAGCUCUGAUGUCUCGAGGCGGAACUUGGGUAGGAGCACUUUUGCCCUCCGGUAGAGCGAUUCCACCGGGGGAACUUCCCUCUCGGAGGGGGAAAUGAUCGUCAUCAUCAUCACCAACAACUCUCCCAUCUUGGGGAGGGGAAUAUCCAUCAAGAUCUUCAACAGCACCAUCUCCUCUCAAAUACUAGUUCAUCUCUUGUGUUCAAACUUUCUACCGGAACCUUAGAUUGGUGCUUGUGGGUGACUAGUAGUGUUGAUUACACCUUGUAGUUGAUUACUAUAUGAUUUAUUUGGUGGAAGAUUAUAUGUUCAGAUCCAUUAUGCUAUUUAAUACCCCUCUGAUCAUGAGCAUUAUUAUCAUUUGUGAUUAGUUACUUUGGUUCUUGAGGUCAUGGGAGAAAUCUUGUUGCAAGUAAUCAUGUGAACUUGAUAUGUGUUUGAUAUUUUGAUCGUAUGUAUGUUGUGAUUCCCUCAGUCGUGUCAUGUGAACAUCGACUACAUGACACUUCACCAUACUUGGGCCUAAGGGAAUGCAUUGUGGAUUAGUUAUUAGAUGAUGGGUUGCGAGAGUGACAGAAGCUUAAACCCUAGUUUAUGCGCUACUUCGCAAGGGAUUGAUUUGGAUCCAAAAGUUUAAUGCUAUGGUUAGAUUUAUUCUUAAUACUUUUCUCGUAGUUGCGGAUGCUUGCGAGGAGGUUAAUAAUAAGUAGGGGGUUUGUUCAAGUAAGAAUAGCACCUAACCACCGGUCCAUCCACAUAUCAAAUUAUCAAAGUACCGAACAUGAAUCAAACCAACAUGAUGAAAGUGACUAGAUGAAAUUCCCGUGUACCCUCAAGAACACAUUGCUUACCAUAAGAGACUGUUUUGGCAUGUCCUUUGCCUCAAAAGGAUUGGGCUACCUUGCUGCACUUUUGUUACCGAUACCGUUACUUUCUUGUUACAAAUUAUCUUGCUAUCAAUCUACUCGUUACUUAUAAUUUCAAUGCUUGCAGAGAAUACCUUGCUGAAAACUACUUGUCAUUUCCUUCUGCUCCUUGUUGGGUUUGACACUCUUACUUAUCAAAAGGACUAUGAUUGAUCCCCUAUACUUGUGGGUCAUCAAUUAUUCAGUAACGUAUAUAUACUAAUUUUUAGAGAAUCAUUACCCGUUCUUUUGUAGUCAUCUCUGCCUUACUAUGAGACGGCAAGAAGCCAUCUUCUUAAUGUUGGGUCAUUACUCUAUUUUGUAGACUCAAAUAAGCAGUGCUUCAGUUGCACAUUUGAUGUUAGGGUGUGCAUCUGCAGACCACAUUGGUUGGUAGUACAAAACUAUGGGGUUAGUUUGCUUACUAUACUUACUGAUCUUUAGCUUUCUCUGUUGUCCCCUUCUCUCAUUUUUUCUGCACAGUUUGAAUGUUUAGUUUGCUUAGCACAUUUUCUGUGCAGUGCCAUGAUUUCAGAUUGAUCUAAGCAUAGAUUAUGCUUGGAAGACAGAUUCAUCAGAGAUUGCCUGAUCUCAUCCUAAUCUGCUACCCCUUCUAAGCACAGCUAUUGUUCGAAUGCCAAUUCUUCAAGACAAGGCAAAUGCAUUGGCCAAGCAUCGAUCAGUGCACUUCCAUCAACAUGUUACAUUAGCACGAUGACCAUUUUGUGAUUGAUGGCUGGGUGCCCAUAGACCGGGAUGGCCAAUACACAAUGGGUAAACUCAAAGGUGGUAUGAUAUUGGAGAAAUUUGGGGGACAGAAACAACGGAUAAGUGGGGGUUCUGAGUGAGUCUCUGGCCGUUGGCCGCAGAUGGCUGCCACCCUGCAGGAGCUAAGAAGCAGGAAAUUCUGGCUAGACAACACUAUGCUAGUGUUUUUGUAUAUCCCGGAGUGGGGGCUAGAGGAAAGUUGCGGGCCCUCCUUGUGGUUACAUCGCAUAUUCGCAAUUGCAGAGAAAUAUUUGAUGGCUCCUUGAUAUGCACCUCAUAUUUGGAAACCGUGACAACUUCAGAAACACCUAUGGUGACCGUGCUAAAUAGCGGUCAUCCACGACAUCCUUUGUGGCGAACAAUGCAACACAUGGCACAAGUCAGGUUUGGAGAUCCCACACGCCUACCAGCCGCAGAUUAUUCGCAACAACAGAUAGGCUUCAACACUAUGGGAUUUCAGCGACCAACUGCCGGAGACGAUGCCACAUUUGCUUCUUGGAUAUGUUGUUGCACGAGAGGUCUCACAUUCCAUCCUCCAUGAAUGGCAGCAUCUGGAGUAGACAUCUGCCCACUACGAGCAGUUGAUUCGCAUGGCAAACAACACGCUCAAUGUGAUGGAGGGACACAAGAUACAUGUGGACAGCCAUCAUGUUGGUGUCAGGGUGCAUCUGUCUGGCAUCACCGUGAAUGAUGUGAUCGUCAAUGACAUGGAGGUUUCAGGAGCCAUUUUUCUCUAUGCCUAGAAAUAAGAGAAUCUUGACAUUAUGUGUUCAAGAACUGAGUUUAGCUUUAACGGAUUAUUGUGUAACUGUGCCACUAUUCAAUUCUCGCUAUAGCAUGUUGUCUAGGAGCAUAGUCUACACCAGAAGAUUUGACAAAUGGCAUAGAAGUUCUUAUUGAACAUAGAUAUAUUGUUCUUGGAAGGAACGCAUAUAUAUUCAAUAAGUUAGUAGCAUCGGUUGCCCCAGCACGUGUGCAUCUGUAGCACCAACAGCUGCUCAUUUGUUGUCAUGUCAUCUCGCAGCGACUACAUGCAUCUGUAGUAGUUCUCACAGAAGAAGCAAUACAUUUUUAUCAACAUGAAAUUUGUUUGGUAAAAUCCAUGAGAACUUCAUCAGUAACCAAUUGAUUGGUACCCCACAUAAGACAAGCAGGCGUGUUCCUUUCAAAAAAACUUCAAAAUGGACAUCAUUUUUCAUGAGUUCUUUCAGGAGUAAAGUAAGGUAAGGUCUUUGGUCACCAUUCACCUACCAUUUUAGUUAGUUCUACAUGUACAACUGAUUCAGCAACUCGAAUUUGAAAGGAAUUCUUUAAAAGGAAAUCAGUUAAGCAACUCGAAUGAAUCCAUCAUGCAUUGGUCUGAAAUCCAAGGAAAUAUGAGCAAAACCCCCCAAAUCUAAUUGAAGCACCGAACAUCUUUCAGAAGGAGAUUAACUCUUUCAGAACCUUUCAAAAGAUGGCAUAUCAAGGAUCAAAAUCGACCACAUAGAUUGAUGACCAAGACUUCAUCCAUUAGUUUGGAUGCCUCAUAUGAUGAUAAUUCCAACCAUGGAACCACAGGUGUGGUGAUCCGUGAUAGCCCAUGCAUUCUUAUUCAUACACAGGCCCUCUGGUAUGAUUUUGCUGCUAGUCCAAUGACGAAAGAAGCUGUAGUGAUAUGCAAUGGAGCGCACAUGCCCCUUGAGAGGGGGUUAUGUAGAGUAAUGAUUUAGAGUGAUGCACAAGCUAUCAUCAAGCUAUGGGAGUCAUGCGGCUUCGAUCAUGGAGAGAUUGCUGGAGCCUUGUGGAUUGAAGAACUGAGUGUGCAUUUUGAGAGUUCUAUGCUCAGCUUUGUUGGACAAGAUGCUAGUAUGGCAGCUCAUUUAUGUGCUAAACUGGUGACCAAGUUUAGGAAGAGAUGUUUAUGGCUUAAUUUUACCCCUCUACUCCUAGUGAACACAUUCCAUUGUGAGUGUAUGCUUGAUUAAGUAAGCAAUAAAGCUCUUUCACUCACAAAAAAGUAGAAAUUGCAACGCGGCCAUCCUAGCAUAUCAAAACAUUUCUAAUUGUGGCGAUGACCUUUUUUCCAUAUGAUCCUAGAAAAUGGAUUGGGUUCCACUAUCAAGGGAUAACGAAACUACAAAUGCACAAAAAACAUCCUGGUCCAAGAACAUAGCCUAAAACUGGUUUCAACUGCUAACAAUAAAAGCUAAUGGAUCCAAAUCUACUGCAAGUUGACUUGGGGUUCACAAUCAUCCCAAGUAAAAUGUUUUCGAUCACUAGCAUGAUCAUUCAGAAAACUCCAUUGCAUCAUUCUUCGUCCAGUCUUUCUCCAUUGGUUCACCUGCACCCACUUCUUAUUCCUCAGUUUCUCCA
rnacentral:lncRNA from 1 species